GUGCCAGCCGCCGCGGUAAUUCCAGCUCCAAUAGCGUAUAUUAAAGUUGUUGUGGUUAAAAAGCUCGUAGUUGAACCUUGGGCCUGGCUGGCCGGUCCGCCUCACCGCGUGCACUGGUCCGGCCGGGCCUUUCCCUCUGUGGAACCCCAUACCCUUCACUGGGCGUGGCGGGGAAACAGGACAUUUACUUUGAAAAAAUUAGAGUGCUCCAGGCAGGCCUAUGCUCGAAUACAUUAGCAUGGAAUAAUAAAAUAGGACGCGCGGUUCUAUUUUGUUGGUUUAUAGGACCGCCGUAAUGAUUAAUAGGGACAGUCGGGGGCAUCAGUAUUCAACUGUCAGAGGUGAAAUUCUUGGAUCAGUUGAAGACUAACUACUGCGAAAGCAUUUGCCAAGGAUGUUUUCAUUAAUCAGGAACGGAAGUUAGGGGAUCGAAGACGAUCAGAUACCGUCGUAGUCUUAACCAUAAACUAUGCCGACUAGGGAUCGGACGGUGUUAUUCAUGACCCGUUCGGCACCUUACGAGAAAUCAAAGUGCUUGGGCUCCAGGGGGAGUAUGGUCGCAAGGCUGAAACUUAAAGAAAUUGACGGAAGGGCACCACCAGGGGUGGAGCCUGCGGCUUAAUUUGACUCAACACGGGGAAACUCACCAGGUCCAGACACAAUAAGGAUUGACAGAUUGAGAGCUCUUUCUUGAUUUUGUGGGUGGUGUGCAUGGUCCGUUCUUAGUUGGUGGGGUGACUUGUCUGCUUAAUUGCGAUACGACGAGACUACCUGCUAAUAGCCCGCAUGCUCCGGCAGUGCGCUGGCUUCUAGAGGGACUUUCGGCUCAAGCCGAAGGAAGUUGAGGC
rnacentral:rRNA from 1 species